ensembl:lncRNA
GUCUGUACUGUGUGUGUGUGUGUGUGUGUCUGUGUGGUGGUCAGUGUAAUGACUACUGUACUGGUCAGUGUACUGUAGUCUCUAAGACUCACCACAGAGUGAGACUGGUACCUGCCGACAGGGACUGAGAGAUAUCGGUCUCCCUGUGCGAUGGUUCUAUACAAAACACUAACGUUCAGAAGAGACUUUGUGUGUGUGUGAGAGAGAGAGAGGUCAGUGUGUGAGAGAGAGAGUGAGGUCAGUGUGUGAGAGAGAGGGUGAGGUCAGUGUGUGUGUGUGAGAGAGAGGGUGAGGUCAGUGUGUGAGAGAGAGAGUGAGGUCAGUGUGUGAGAGAGAGUGAGGUCAGUGUGUGUGUGUGAGAGAGAGGGUGAGGUCAGUGUGUGUGUGUGAGAGAGAGAGGUCAGUGUGUGUGAGAGAGAGAGAGUGAGGUCAGUGUGUGUGUGUGAGAGAGAGAGAGAGAGGUCAGUGUGUGUGUGUGAGAGAGAGAGAGAGGUCAGUGUGUGUGUGAGAGAGAGAGAGGGGUCAGU